rnacentral:lncRNA from 1 species
CUUUAUCAUUGGUAUCAACUGUACUAUUGGGCCAUGCUUGCGAAUCGAUGUGAUGCAAGACGGGCUCCAUGGUUGGAGUAGUUAACCAUGUUCCAAAGUUCAGAAGUGUCAAUAAUACAUUUCAACAUUAUUAUUUCCGAUUGAUUGUGAAUCUCAUACGGUGUUAUUGCAUCUUAGUGUGUUUAACUUUAAUACCUUCUAAGUUGAAGUGGUUAAUAAUUAUGGUCAUUUCCAACUCUGAUUGGUCGUUUACAAAAAUGCAUAGCAAAAAUGGUCAUACUUAUUACAGCUGAGCACCAAAUAGAUAGUGAAGCUAAGGUUAGUCUUGUGAAUGAAUCCAAAGUGAAUUCCGUUGUAAGACUGAGUGCUACUGAUUCAAGUGUCUAAUUGCAGACAUUCCCAAAAUGUUUUCAUGUUCUGUGAAUCAUGCUGCUCUCUUGGUAGUAACUUUCGUUUCAGUAGCGAAAGGUCUCAUCAAAUACAAUAGCGUCAUCCUGUCGAAACCAGAGCAUUAUUAUUUGAAGAGGAGUUAACUGCGAAAGGCAUCAUUCCAGAGGUUGUGCCGCGAGCACCAUUUAGAAUAGUUUAUGUGAGUACCUACUUUUUCUUCAAAUAUUUGAUCACAAUGCUACGAGAAUAAAUUAAAUUGGGCGAGGAUCAGAGAAUUUCUCCAAAUGAUUUUAUGUCAAUCGCGGAACUUUUUCUCCAAGCAUGCAAGAUAACACAGGUGAUAAUAAAAUUAGAAGAAGAGCUGUGCAAAGAUCUCAAAGUCUUGGAAAUUCCAAAAUCAAGAGAGCUGCAGAAAAAAAACAAUAUAUUAACACUGCUCACAAUACAGCUGAUUUUCAUUGGAAUAAGUUACAUCAUAGAUCGUAAAUGUCAACAAACCACAGUGCCUUGUUCACAUCAUUAAUUUGAAGUUCAUCCGGUGUUUUUCCUACCGUACAUUUAUAAAGAACUCAUGGCAGAAAAUUUUAUGGUAAAUGUUUUACCUUGUAUUUUUCAGCUUGAGUAUCUCAAUAAAAAUCAUUCCGUUUUACCGGGCGCCAAAUUUAUGGUAGGACGACCAGACGGACCGGUCGCCAAGGAACCAUAUAAUGUUACAUGGGGAGCAAAUGCAACUGAUAUAUACACACUGUGCCUAUUUGAUUUUGAUGCCCCUGUGCGAGCUGCUCCAGUCUUACGAAGUUACAUACAUUGGUUAGUCGGGAACAUACCGGGAGCAGGCGUGAAAAUGGAGAGACAUUUUUCGAAUAUUUUCCUCUGAGAGCCCGUGCUGACACAGAGAUGAGGAUGAUCGUGUCGAUUUCAGCAUAAAUGAAUUUGAGAAGAAGUACCAACUGGAACCUCCGAUCGCCCUCACAUAUUUCGAGUGCGAAUAUGAUCACACGAUUAAGAACCCACACUUACGAUACGACGACGAGGAAGUGAAGAGGAAGAACGAAGAACUGAGGAAAAAUGCGAAACCAUAUGACGAUUUGACAGAGUGGGUGGGAUAAUGUCAAACUGUGAUACAAUUGUCAAAAUAUUUUUAAAAUAUAUUCGAAGAAAUAUAUUUACAAGACAAUGUUGUUUCAAUUUUGGAAAUAUUUCUGCAAUACCCUGCUAGCACAGCUCGGAUCGGUAAGGUUUUAGAAACAUUCCACUUGUGUCGACUGAUUCAUCUCGUUGAAACAUAUUAGAAACAUUUCAGAAAUGUUUCAGUGACGCAAAAACUUUGAACAUUUCAUUGAAACAUAUCCAAAACAUUUUGAAAAUGUU